GUUAGGUUUAGUUGGACUAUGCU
rnacentral:piRNA from 1 species